UACGUAGGAGGCGAGCGUUGUCCGGAGUUACUGGGCGUAAAGGGUGCGCAGGCGGCGGUUCGCGUGGCGAGAUGAAAUCUCCUGGCUUACCUGGGGGGGUGGUCGCCAGACGGGAUCGCUUGAGGGUCGGAGAGGGGCGUGGAAUUCCCAGUGUAGAGGUGAAAUUCGUAGAUAUUCGGAAGAACACCAGUGGCGAAGGCGGCUCACUGGACCGGUAUUGACGCUGAGGUGCGAAAGCGUGGGGAGCAAACAGG
rnacentral:rRNA from 1 species